ACAAAAAAAGUGGAGUGAUUUUACACACCAAUAUAGGAUUGGCUGAGUGACACAUUUAUAUUUUUAUAUCGAAGACAAUAUCAGAAACGGAAGAAAACGAAAGACUUCAACUCAAGGUCAAAUUUACUGUUGGUCAUAUCCGCCCCGAUCGUUGACUGGCAGGCUGCAUUAUGCUACAGGCCGAACUUUUCGGGGCUCUGUAAUGGUACUUGGGACUGUAAACAACAAGCAUUCAAGUAUAUAAUUCACGACCUUUAUGGUUCUUUAAAGUAGCCACUAAAAGUGGAAAAAGCGCCAUGGAAAAAGCCAACGCGCGUACGACCUAAACACGCAGGCCGUUGCUUGUAAAGUACCGACAAAAUAAUCACUUUAUAACAGAGAGUUUAUAUUGUCUUAUUUUCAACACGAAGUACUCUUAUUAAAUUGUCUCGUAAAUGCGCGAUGAACUUGUACCUGCGAGACAUAGAACGGGGAGUCAAAUAACAAGUACAACACAAACAGGAAGCAUUUUUUCUUUGAAAAAAAAAGUAAAUAAAAACUUUAUUGGCAAAGACAACAGCGCUUUCCCAUCCCAUGUGGUCGAGUUUGCAAUUUGACAGCCGCCCGACUUUGUUCUUUUUAAACGUUCAUAUUUGAGCGCGCAAGUGUGGUUUGGGGACUCCUCGCGGCCGUCCUGAUUUUCCUCGUCGAGCGAGCCAAUUAGCUCGGUUAGCCGCUAGCCGCUCAUCGCGGAGUCCAGGUAGCGAGCCAAGCACCAUUUCUAUGUUUUGUUUUCACUCUUUCCUGAUUUCCAGCAUUUUUCACAGCGCGCUAAGCAGUUUGCUGCUCCGUGGGCCAUUCCACAUUUGGAGGACAUUUUUGUCAAAUAUCCCAUGCACAAAAUAGACAAACAUGCACUUGUUGUGUAAAUUAUCGUUGUCAUGGGACAAAAUGUAACUUGCUGGAGUAAAAGUGGUUCCGUAAAUAUUAUUAAACUACCGAAUAGCUCUUGAGCACCCCUAAAAUGGCUUCCCCCACUUUGUCGCUCCUUCUUGAUAACCAACCUAGAUAUUCAUCAUAACAAAAAUUUGGGGGGUAUGAUUUUGUUGCUAUUGUUCAAACAUUGUGUUUUAUUGCAGACAUUGAAAAUGAUAAUUAUGCUCUUAAGUUGUUUGUCACAAACAUACAAGCAGCCCUGUUGCUAAAAACCUUUUCAGUCAUCUAGAGGAAGAGGAAAAAAGGUGAGUGACAUGACUCAGCAGAAAUGACUCGUUCAAGCCAUUUGUUCUGGAUGGGUAGACACAUUCCAAGUCCUACGGUAAUCCUAAAAUGUAAUUAUUUUCAUAACAUUUAACUUAACGGCGCAAUAAAAAUUAGGAAGUUUGUUUCCUGUGUUUCUGGAAAACAAAAAAAUAUAUAACACAAAUGGUCUGUUUUUCAAAUACGUUGGACCCUAACUUGUCCUCCAAUUUUGGUGUGACCCACAUGUAGCGUUUGCGUCAACAUUUUGAGUCAUUUUAACAACGGCUGGCACAACUGUGAGCGUAUCCGUGAACGCCUCACGAUGCGUUUGUGUCCCGUGUAGUGUGUGAACAGCAAAAAAAAAUGCUGCUGCGGACUUUGUGGGCUAAACCGGGAUCUCCACGGAACCCGGUCGCCUCGGCUCGUCUUUUUCAUCGUACCCGAGCACACGAGCGCGAGUUGAAAGCCGGGCCUCACUCACGCUCCUCGAACGUCCCGGCGAGGUGUUCCUUAAACGCACCUCACCCCAAGAAAGAACCUCCGAGCCGCUUUCUGUCAUUUGCCGUAAAUGCAUUUGAAGGUCCGAGCUGCGUCUUUUUGAUGGACUUUCAACGCAGGAGCGAACAGAAGCGUCGGUACGCAUCAAAUCUGGUCAAGUCCGUGUUAAAGCCGACUUUAAAACCAGUGACGGUGCCUGGGAAAAGAGUUCCCAAAGGACCGAGAACCAAACAACCUUCAAGAGCCAAUCAGCCUUCCCUGAAUCAGGACACGGACAUGAUGCAAUGUAUGGCCUUCGCAACUGCAGACCAGUACAAUCUGCCCGCGCUCAGCGUCGACCUGGCGCAACACGGCUUCCGCGAAGUGGAAUUCCCUCGAGACGCCGCCAACGUGCUGGUGAUCAGUUCGGACGUGAGCGCCAAACCCGACGACGGCUCGCUCAUCUUCUUCUUCAGGGAGGGGUCGGUGGUUUUCUGGAACGUGGAAGAGAAAAUGCUGAAGAAGGUGCUGAGGAUAUUGGAGCGCCACGAGAGUCAACCGUACGAAGUCGCGUUGGUCCACUGGGAAAACGAAGAGAUCAACUACACGUACGGCGAGGGAAACACAAAACUGGAGCGCGGCAACUUUGUUUUGAGCAAGCACCUGGAGCAGCACGACGGCGAUCUGGAGAAGUUCGCCUUUUCCAACGCUUUGUGUUUGUCAGUCAAGUUGGCCAUCUGGGAGGUGUCGCUGGACAACUUCGUGGAGUCCAUUCAGUCAAUCCCCGAGACGCUCAAGUCGGGCACGCGAGUGAAGUUGUCGUCGGCGGAGGUCAUGCAGAAGAUAGGCGAGCUCUUCACCUUGAGACAUCGCAUCAACCUGAGCUCCGACCUCCUGCUCACGCCCGACUUUUACUGGGACCGAGAGAACCUGGAGAAGAUCUACGACAAGACCUGCCAGUUCCUCAGCAUCAACCGCAGGGUCAAGGUUGUGAACGAGAAGCUGGAGCACUGCACUCAGCUGACGGACCUGAUGAGGAGUCACCUGAGCGAAAAGCACAGCUUGCGGCUGGAGUGGAUGAUCGUCAUCCUCAUCACCAUUGAAGUGAGGAGCGCCGUCACACUUCAUAUAGCGUAACGCAACACCGACGCACGCGCAAUAUUGUAGAGCGACAACGAGUGCUCAGAUGCCACAUUUCAUACGAGAAACUGGUGUUGUUUGAAGUGGUGAGAAUGAUCUUCUGAGCAGGAGAGAGUCUUCACAGCGUGCCGUGUCCAGGUACGUUCCGCACCGUUGUGUGGAACCAACCGACAGCAGCGGGUCUUGGCGUUAUUGCGCAAAUGCGCAGGUUUCACAAAACUCUUGUCAACAAUGAGGAGAAGGACUAUCGGUACUUACGUUCUUCCCAAUAAACUCACAAUAGUGUGCCAGAGGAGACCAAUCCUGAUGAGAAGUCCAAGUCGUUUGGUGAGCAAGCGGUCGUGGCGCAAAAACGGCAGGAAGUCCAGUUUGCCAGAUGACUGGCUGCAUGAGUUCACCUGGCUGAGGUUUUUCAGGAGCUGCAAAUUCUACUGUUGAUACGCACAACAUGUGGGGGAACAGUGACAUUUGCUGCAAAUACUGCCUCUGCAGGCCCAAACGUUAACUUUGCAUUUCUAGUAUUCAUGCUGUGUCGUGUUAUGAUAUUUAUGUUUGAAUGUUUGAAACAUUGUAGUUUCUGCAUUUAUUGUCAAAAGUAUUUAACAUUAAUACAAGAUAAGGAGAAAAGUAAUGUAGGUAUUUCCUUGCUUAGUAUGCGCCCCGAAGGUUUUGAGUUAAAUUUUAUUUUUUGAGUCGUUCAUAUAAUUCAAUAAUUGGUUAACUGAUGUAUUGCAAAUAUUUAACAAUUUAAAAAGUUUUUUUUUUUUUUUUUUUUUUUUUUUUUUUUAGUUGGUUAAUAAAUGAUAAAAAUCUCAAUUUUAAAAAUGAACUUAUUUUACUAUAAAUUAUAUGUACUUUUUUUCCCCCCUACAAAUGAUGUGGUGUAUUUGUUUGUUUUAACCUUUUAACAACCAAUACAAAAAGUUUGCAGGUUAUAUUUACUUUGUCCAGUUGUAACUAAAAUCUGUAGUUUUAACAAUGUGAGCAUCUACCAAAUGGUUGAGAUGUCACUCGAUGAUAAAGUAAAAUAAAAUACAAAAUAAAGAUUGAAACAAACA